CCGAUAAGGGAUGACCUCGCUGACAACACUCUCACCUUCCCUCACUGCUCCGUGACAUGGGGAUUUCCCUGUCCAAGACUGCACUAGGCACCCGCAGAGACAAGAGAAAAGCACACCCUGAGGCACCUCACAACCACAGCGUACCUGCUGCAAUACCUCUCUUACCAGCUCCUUUACUUCAGCUGCUCACCAGCUCUAACAGAUUCUUCACUCACAGCUCCGCACCAAACUCUGCCCAGGCCACACAAAACACACUACACAAGCUACAUUAAGACACACGAGCUGGAACAUUCCCGCCCAACAAUCAGUCACAUCGCACUUCAGGAAGGAUGCCGCACGCUCCUAGAAACCAAACCUACCAGUCCUGAACAGCUCCCCACCUCCCCUUGCCAACCACACUCAGCACACACACUAGUUGCCCUUCAAAAAAAAGUAGGAACAUACACACAAAAAAAACAACUGAGCUCCACAAACGCCAAAAAGCCAUGCACACACAGCAGCCCCAGCAGGGGUAAUCACAGACCUACCCUUUACAGAUGAAAAAUGAUAUGACCCUGCUCAGUCUCUUGGUAAUACUGCACCUGUGGUCAAGCCUCUUGCAGUGUGUAAUCAAGCUCUUUUUAGUCCUCUGGAGAGUUACACAAGUGCUUUGAUGCAUCUAGAGAUUAAAAUAUAAAUCCAAAACAGAAGUGUACCCCACCAUCCCAAAAAUGAGCGAGCCAACAACCUCUGCUAAAUAUCCCUCUAUCAAGUGAAUUCCAAGCACUCACAAUCUAGAAAUCCAGAGACUCUGACCCACCUAAAGAACCCUGCAACUGACAGAAGGAAAAACAAAGCACUUACCCCUAAGAGCAGCCCAGGCACAAUGAGCUCCCUCAUGCCUUGCCUGGGGCUCAUAUACCAUUUGGCCCCGCCCACCACCCAAACCCAAUCACCUGGGAAAGGGGAGGGGCAAAAAACAACAAAGUAGACAGACAGCAGGACAAGCACCAGCUGUGUUUUGUUUUUUUUUUUUUUCAUCUGGUUUUCAGCUCAACACCAUGCAGAGGGCAGACAGGAGAACUGGGGUGUUUCUAGAAGCAACAAUCCCCAGGCUUUUGCUUCAGCUUUGAAUAUUGAGAGGACAAUAUGACCAAGCAAGUAACUCAUCUUUUUCAGCUGGCAUUAAACCUUUCUUUCACAUAGGAAGAAAAAUCUAGGAGCAUCACAGAUUACACACCAAAA